rnacentral:tRNA from 1 species
GGGGUUGUGGCUCAGUGGUGGAGAGCUUGCUUAGCAUGCAUGAGGCACUGGGUUCGAUCCUCAGCACCACA